GAUAAAGCUUUUAAAAUUUAUCAAAUCUGAUCCAGUUAUGGAAUACAAGCGAUCAUUAAAACAACAUCAUGUUUCUCCUACAAAAAGGUUGCAUUAUACAAUUGUUAUUAAAGAAGAUUAGGCAGAUACAAAAACUGUUGUGCCAUCUCAUUGGGUUGAACAAUGUAAAAGUUGUAUAUUUUAUAUUAUUGGAA